rfam:Arabis alpina cultivar Pajares Aa.chr1_contig_3563, whole genome shotgun sequence.
UUGCACUAUGUAUUUGUAAGGCUAUGUCUUUGUUCAGUGACAUAGUCUUUGUUGCAAAAAGUGCAUAAAGAGAGAGCUGUUAAAUCAGCAAGCGGCCAGACAACCGUCAGGAUAGAUCCACAGGUGAAACAGCAUUUUCCUCUGUUUUCAGCUACUAAAUCUAUCCUACAUUU